rnacentral:rRNA from 1 species
UACAGAGGUCCCGAGCGUUGUUCGGAUUCACUGGGCGUAAAGGGUGCGUAGGUGGCUGGAAAAGUUUGAUGUGAAAGCUCAGGGCUUAACCCUGAAAUGGCAUUGAAUACUGUCGAGCUGGAGGUUUGGAGGGGGGACUGGAAUUCCCGGUGUAGCGGUGGAAUGCGUAGAGAUCGGGAAGAACAUCAGUGGCGAAGGCGGUCUGCUGGGCCGUUGCUGACGCUGAGGCGCGACAGCGUGGGGAGCAAACAGG